rnacentral:rRNA from 1 species
UACGGAGGGUGCAAGCGUUAUCCGGAUUCACUGGGUUUAAAGGGUGCGUAGGCGGAUUGGUAAGUCAGUGGUGAAAUCUCCAAGCUUAACUUGGAACUGCCGUUGAUACUAUCUGUCUUGAAUAUUGUGGAGGUGAGCGGAAUAUGUCAUGUAGCGGUGAAAUGCUUAGAUAUAACAUAGAACACCAAUUGCGAAGGCAGCUCGCUACUCAAUUAUUGACUCUGAGGCACGAAAGCGUGGGGAUCAAACAGG